UUUCUACUCCCUCUAUACAAUAAAAGAUGUCUUGAGUUUGUCAAAAUUUGGAUGUAUUUAGACAUGACUUGGUGUAUAGAUGCAUUUAAAUUUAGUCAAAGUGGAGACAUCUUUUGUUGGACGGAAGGAAUAGGUA
rnacentral:pre_miRNA from 1 species